AUGAACGCUAGCGACAGGCCUAACACAUGCAAGUCAGGGGCAGCACAAGGAGCAAUCUGAGGUGGCGACCGGCGCACGGGUGAGUAACACGUAUGCAACCUGCCUGUAAGCGGGGAAUAACCCGUUGAAAGACGGACUAAUACCGCAUAAUACUAAAUUACUGCAUGGUAAUUUAUUUAAACAUUUAUGGCUUACAGAUGGGCAUGCGCAUGAUUAGCUAGUUGGAGAGGUAACGGCUCCCCAAGGCAACGAUCAUUAGGGGUUCUGAGAGGAAGGUCCCCCACACUGGUACUGAGACACGGACCAGACUCCUACGGGAGGCAGCAGUGAGGAAUAUUGGUCAAUGGACGAGAGUCUGAACCAGCCAAGUCGCGUGCAGGAAGAAUGUCCCUAUGGAUUGUAAACUGCUUUUGCAGGGGAAUAAAGUGCAUCACGUGUGAUGUUUUGUAUGUACUCUGCGAAUAAGGAUCGGCUAACUCCGUGCCAGCCGCAGC
rnacentral:rRNA from 1 species